AGGACGGGGCUCUGACCUUGGUGGUGGAUCCCCAGGGGCGGGUGUGAUUUGGCUGUUCGUGGAUUUCCUGGUCUGGGGGUGGGCCUGGGGAUCUGCAUUUUAAGCGGGACCUUGGUGAUUCUGAUACUGGGGGUCCUUGGGAAACACUGCAACUCUUUACGAAGCCCAAAGGACGUGUCUCACCCUCCACAUGCCUUUGGGCUUUGCACACCUGGUGUGGGGCGUGGGCGUGUGAGUGUGUGCACGUGUGUGGAAGUUUACCAGGCCCUCCCUUGGUACCAGUGCAUGUCUGGGGUGAAUGCCUGUCCCGUGGCCACCAAUUCAAUGUUCACUUAGGGACUGUAUGGUUAUUUAGCCCUUAUUCCUGAAGAAGACAGUGGGGCCCAGACUGUCAAGUUAACCUGCCCAGCCGCACCUGCUUAUUAGAGAUAGAACACGAAUUCCAGUCGAGCCGGACUCUGGCACCCGGGCCCCGUUCAGAAGAACUGGAAUCUGCAGGCCCCAAGCCUCUCUUUCCUUCCAUGGACGGUGUAGCUGGUGCCAUAUUUAGUGAAAGGUGGGGGUGAGGGGACAUGCCUGGAGACCCUGGUAAUAACCAUUCCUGUACUUUGACAAGAACGGAGUUAUGUGAAUGGUUUGAUGACGUGCAUUUGAAUAUUGUUGUAAUCAGAUUUUCUCUUUCAACCCUCCCCCAUUUCUCUCUCACCUCCGCCCCCUACUCUCACUCCCUGCCCCUUUCAAGACUCUCGCGCCCAGCUGCCAGCUCCUCGAAACCCGAAGGUUCACCUGUACAAUGCUGAGCAGGUUCUGAGUUGGGAGCCGGGGUCGCUGAGCAAUGACACAAGGCCGGUGGUCUACCAGGUGCAGUUCAAAUACCCCUCUGACAGUAGGUGGUACGACACCAGGGACAUAGGCGUGGACUGUAUGAACGUCACCACGACGGAGUGUAACUUCACCCCAACUAGCCUGUCAAAUGGUUUCCCACCACAUUUCAACGUCUCUUUACGUGUCCGAGCUAAGUUGGAGGACCUGGUUUCCCCAUGGCUGUCAGUGCCUUGGUUCCUGUACUAUUGGAAUGGUAAGAGAACUUGGCUGUAAAACUUCUUUAUCAUUUAGGCUUUCUUCACUUUACUCCUCACUGAGAAGUAUGGAUUCCAUGCACCCCAGUCCUGUCUCUGACUCCGCAUAGCCAGCAAACAGAAAGACUUUCAUUCAGCCUUGAACAGUGCCUGGCACAGAGCGGAUAUGCCGGAAAGCUUGGUUGAAUGAGCAGAUGUGCUCCCGGAAAUCGGAAGAGGGCGUAAGAAUCGACAGAUACUAGUUUGUACAUUCGCUCCUUCCAUGAUUCAUGUCUCACAUGGUCAGCUGUGUCCCAGGUUUCUUCAGUGUUUAUGGUUUAGGCAAACAAAGUAUGGGAUCCUGACUCAAACAGAAACAGAGGUAGAAGACAGCUGAGGAAGUUUGGUCACUGUGUAGCUAUUUGAUGAUCUAGUAAGCGAUUAUUGUUAGUUUAUCUUAGGUAUUAUCAUGGUAUUUUAUGUUUUUAAAAGCGGGGGUCCUAUCCUUUAGAGACACAUACUGGAGUUUUUACAUGAGAUGAUGUGAUGUUUGGGGUUUGUUCAAAAUAAUCCAGAGAGUGGGAGGGCUGAGGGAAAGGGGGAUGAGAGGAACAAAAUUGGCCAUGACCUGACGGCCAUGCGGCCGCCUCCGUCGCUCCGUCGCUCCUGUCGCUGCUGCUGCCGCUGCUGUUGCUGCUCGGCGGCCGCGCCGCCGCCGCGGCCCUGGCAGACUCUCGCGCCCAGCUGCCAGCUCCUCGAAACCCGAAGGUUCACCUGUACAAUGCUGAGCAGGUUCUGAGUUGGGAGCCGGGGUCGCUGAGCAAUGACACAAGGCCGGUGGUCUACCAGGUGCAGUUCAAAUAGUAAGCUGGAUCUUUCUGUUGGCAUCCUUACGGGGAGUGGUGCGGGGGGGCUGGGGGCCAGCCGAUCGGGCUUGCCUCUUGGCAGGAUUGAGGGCAAAUCCACUGGAAGCAGAUAUUUCUCUUGUACUUUUAAAAUCUCGGAGGACAGGGCGCCUGGGUGGCUCAGUCAGUUAAGCGACUGCCUUCGGCUCAGGUCAUGAUCCCGGAGUCCCGGGAUCGAGUCCCGCAUCGGGCUCCCUGCUCAGCGGGGAGUCUGUUUCUCCCUCUGACCCUCCCCCCUCUCGUGCUCUCUCUUUCUCAUUCUCUCUCUCAAAUAAAUAAAUAAAACCUUAAAAAAAAAAAUCUCGGAGGACAGAGAUUUCACCACCUCCCACUCACACGAAGGCUUAGACAGUAUUGGUGUCAGAGACUCGGCUGCCUCCCCACAGGGCUUCUUAGUUGGGCGGGGAGACUGUUCUCACUGGUUUCAGGAGAGGUGUGUAGAAGAGGGCUUCCUGUCUAGAAAGGGCAGGAGGCACCUUGUAGCCUUCAUCUUCUUCAAGUUUGAAAACCUGGUUAUCGAACUUUACGGGCCAGAUUUGACCUACUAAGGAAAGUAUUCACUUCAUUACUACUAAUUCUCGAUUUCUAAAAGGGGUUUUCCAUUUCACACAUUCUUCUGGCCCCUCAUUCUCUCGCUCACCCGCUUUCACAGUUUAUCAUCGCUCGGUGUGCAACAGAAACGCGUAAGGGAAAAAGAAAGGCAGAAUCGAAGUCCUCCGUUGUUACGUGUUUACCUCGUUACAUAGGUUAAGAGAAGACUAAGUUAAAAUUAUUGGCCGAGUCAUUUUAUAUUACCAGUUACACAAAAUUUAAGGAAAUGGUAAUGCUCAGUGCUUGGGAGAGUGUGGUUGAUGGAGAUCGUGCUGGGUGAGGACGCGUUCGCACAGCCCUCCAGCAGAGUCAUCCACCAUAGAGCUAGAGACACAGAAAUGUCCACGUCACUUUCCCCCUACGCAGGUAAUACAAGCCCCCUUCAGAAAAAGAAAAAAAAAAUGGGGUCCCCGGGUGGUUCGGUCAGUUAAGCGUCUGACUCUUGGUUUCAGCUCAGGUCAUGAUCUCCCAGUUGAGGGAUGGAACCCUGAGUCGGGCUCUGUGCUCAGUGCGUAAUCUGCUUCAGAUUCUCUCUCCCUCUCCCAAAACUCUCGCUCUCUCAAAUAAAUAAAUAAAAUCUUAAAAAAAAAAAAAAAAGGAAAGGAAAAAAAGCCACUGGUAUUCGUGAAGAUAGACAUUGAAGUAUAAAUUCAUGUCCAUCUGCAGAAAAAUGCCAAAUUGUGUCAUGUUAACUAGUAGUUGAACAUUAGGCAACUAUUAAAAAGGAUAAUCUGGUAGUGGUCGCAACUGUGUAAAAUUUGGACCAUAUCUGUGGUCAAGAACAGGGAAGGAACCUGGAAAAAUUACGGGCACUUCAUUUGUAAGAGGAGUGCGUCUCCAGGUGACUUCUUUUUCACCUUUGAAUGUCCAUUGUAACAACAUUUGCUUAAUAAAAAUCGAUUCUAAACCAGGGUUUAGGGGUCAUCUCUGAAUUACAUUUAGCUGUUUCUCAAAUAAGUGCCAAUAAUCUAUUGUAAGCAGACCAGUCCACGAGGACCAGCUAUAUAAUUUGUGGGGCCCAGCACAAAAUGAAAAUGGUGCAAGGCCCCCUGUCCAGAAUUACUGAGAACUUCAAGAUGGCGACAGCCGAGCAUCAAACUGAGUGCCUCCUCAGAGGGGGGCUUUGUGCCCCUCCAUGGGUCACGAGCCCGAGAAGCUGGCCCUCCUCAGCAUUCAGUAAACAUGAUGUCGUAGAACUAAACAAGAUUUCGGUGACAGGAAGUCACAGCUGAUAUCCUGACUCACAUCCCUUAGCCUUGAAGGGGGAAGUACAUCUCUGGGUCGACAGAGUUCAAGAGAUAGUAGAAAUAUUCCUUGAAGGCUUUGACAGUUUCCUUUCCCAGACUGACAUGUUUACUUCGUUUCCCUUUUGGAAAGCAUUUUGCAGGUGUUUUUUUCAGGAUAGAGGUUGGUUUUGGUAAAAGAAACAAAGGAUGGGGUGAAUGUGAACGUCCUUCUUUGGAAAAGUUGAGGGGUAAUGAGAAACUGAAACCAGGGCUGGUCUUGUUUUCUUUUCCAAUCGCAGAUUUGAUGAGAGGCGGGCCUUUGCUCUUGUUUUGUUUUUAGAGACUUUUACAUGUUUGGGACAUUUUAGCGACAUGAAAUAAUUUCAUUUUGAGACUUGUGGGACUUAGAACUUUUCCAUCCUGUUUCUCUACAGUAAAGCGUUACUGUAAUUAGAAAUGAAGGUGCCUGUUUUCUGACAGUACAGCAACCAAAGCCAAAAUUACACUGAGCACUGUGGGAAAAUGUCAAGUUUAAAUCAGGGGUUGCAGAGAGUGUGGCCUUCAGGCUGUGUUUGACCCCCAGUGUUUAAUUUUUUUUUUUUUUUCACUUAGUGCCAACAUUAAAAAAUCUGGAGAUUUCACUUUGAGAAAACUUGACCUGACCAGCCCAGUCUUCUGAAAACGUUUUUUUAUUUCAUUUUAUUUUUCUGAUUUUAACAGCAACACGUGUUCUUUACAAAAAGGCUAGAACACCCAGAAAAGUAGAAAGAAUAAAAUUUAAACAACCUAGUGCUCUACAGCCCAAGAAUAAUCCCUGUUCUCCUUCUGGCGUAUUUCUCUAUAGACUUUUUUCUAAAUGCAUGCACUUGGUUUGAAAAUGUGCUAGGGUAUGCGUAAAAAUGAAACAAAACUGGGGUUACGCUUUUGGGUGCUGCUUCCUUUUUUUUUUUUUUUUUCAAGAUUUUUUAAUUUAUCUAUUUGAGAGAGAGAGAAUGAGAGACAGAGAGCACGAGAGGGAAGAGGGCAGAGGGAGAAGCAGACCCCCUGCCGAGCAGGGAGCCCGAUGCGGGACUCGAUCCCGGGACUCCAGGAUCAUGACCCGAGCCGAAAGCAGUCGCUUAACCAACUGAGCCAGCCAGGCGCCCCCCCCCCUUUUUUUUUUCAACCAAACAUAGUUAAGUGUAUGAGCACUUUUCCUCCUAAUGGUCUCUGUGUAAACAUUUUUACUGCUCAUUUUAUUAGAUGAUGCAUCACACAUGAUGUAUUUAACGCUUCCCCACUUGCGGGUGUAGACGGUCACCAGCUUGGGUCCUCGUACAUAAAUCAUCUGAUUGUUUUCUUCAUUUGUAGCAGAGGGAUUGCUGGGUCAGAGGGGACACUUGCCAUUUUUGGAAGUGAUCUAACAGAGGCCAAACAGUGAAGUCCAUAGUCGCCCAGGUGUGGAACCUGGCACCAUUUACAUGGUGCUUCCUGGGCACCAGGUCCUGGCUCAGGCACUUUCCUAAUGUCGGCUGGUGCAACCUUCAUGAUCCCUCGGGGAGGCAAAUACCAUAAUUUAUCCCCAUUUUAUAGAUAAGGGACUAAGGAACAGAGAGGCAGGUGAUGGGGAUUUGAACCCAGGUCAUCUGGCUCCAGAGUCCAUGUGUUCAACCACCAUGCUGUGCUCCCUCUCAUGAUGAGGGCUGCUUUCGAACUGAAAUUCAGGGUCAGAGGCAGUCCAUGAUGGAUACAUGGUGAGGGGGCGCCCGCUGGACUGUCGGGGUGAGACUCGGCCACGCCCGGGCCACGACAGGAGGCCAAGUCUGGCGGUGGGCGGAGCCGUGCUCGAGGCCGGGGUCACUGAAGUGCGGCCAACAUCAUCCCCUUAUUUACCCCCUUUGCGAAGAGAGGGGGAGGCGGCCUCCAGAACGCAGCUUCCUUUUCCGCACUUCCCCCUGAAACUGCUGUCAUGGGCCAGCUGUCACUUAAAUUGGGAGGGUUUGUCCCCCCUUAGGCCCCUUUGUGGAGAAACAUUGUUCAAAAGCAGUUCUGAGACAGGGCCAAGAGUGGAGGAGAGGGGAGGAUGGGGAACAGGAGUAGUCCAUUCCCUGGUAAGUCGGGAAAUGAGCCUUUGAAAUGUGGGGAGCCUUUUGCCCAAGUUCAACAGCUGGGAUCUGCAGGGGAGAAGGUUAGAGUAUCUCUAAGUAUCUGUAUAACUUUUUAAAGAUCGCUUACCCCUUCUAAAGCACACCCCUAAUCUAAGACGGGGCUACAUGUGCUUAGGGGGAUCCCCCUCCCCAGUAGAGUCUGGCCCCUGGGGCUUGGUGGUAAUGUGAGUAUGGCAGCAUCUUCCACGGAAGCCACGGCCACGCAUCUUGAAGUGGCCUUCAUCUUGCCACUGGCCACUUUGACAGAGGAGUCUCCAGUCAGGGUCAAAGGCACCCUUAGAAGUGUGGUGUGUGAGAGCUGGUGGCAGGGAUCCCCAGCCUCGUCUCUUCUGUCUCCCCAACCUUGCUUCCUAGGCCAGAGAUGCUGUGGGGCGCAUAGCCUGUCUCUACAGAGCACACAGCCUACUGCCCCCCACUGAGGUCCCUAGCAGCCACCUCUCUGGUUUUUCUCAAGUCUGUCACCUAAGCACAGAGAUUAAAGCUGGAGAGUAGAGUUCCAUGUGGGGGUGUGGCAUUGGGACUCUGGGGAAUGCAUUGUCAUUUACAAGAAUAUGUGACCUCGUAUUUAGCAGGGUUUUCUUUUUUUUUUUUUAAAGAUUUUAUUUAUUUAUUUGACAGAGAGAGACACAGAGAGAGAGGGAACACAAGCAGGGGGAGUGGGAGAGGGAGAAGCAGGCUUCCUGCGGAGCAGGGAGCCCGAUGUGGGGCUCGAUCCCAGGACCCUGAGAUCAUGACCUGAGCCGAAGGCAGACGCUUAACGACUGAGCCACCCAGGCACCCCUUAGCAGGGUUUUCAUACGGGUGAUGCAAACUUUAAAUGGGCAGCUGUGGGAUAAAACAAACUCCACACCAGCAAGAAGCAUGAGUGGGGUUUGUAUGAACACGGUAUCUUUCCUAAGACAUUGGCUACAGAGGCUGAGUUUGAAGAAUCAAAAUCAGUUGCAGGACUGAAUGGGAAAUGUCUGAUAAGAGACUUGCAUCCAGAGUAUAUAAAGAACUCUUACAACUCAACAAUUAAAAGACAACCCAAUUAAAAUACAGAGAAAGGGUUUGAGUAGACAGUUCUCCAAAGAAAAUAUACAAAUGGCCAAUAAAUACAUAAAAAGAUGCCCAACAUCAAUAUUCAUCAAAGAAAUGCGAAUUUAAGGGCACCUGGGUGGCUCAGUUGGUUAAGCGACUGCCUUCGGCUCAGGUCAUGAUCCUGGAGUCCCGGGAUCGAGUCCCACAUUGGGCUCCCUGCUCGGCGGGGAGUCUGCUUCUCCCUCUCCCACUCCCCGUUUGUGUUCCCUCUCUCGCUGUGUCUUUCUCUGUCAAAUAAAUAAAUAAAAUCUUUAAAAAAAAAAAAAGAAAUGCGAAUUUAAGACCACAGUGAUCCACCACAGCACCACCACUAGGAUGGCCAUAAAAAAAAAAAAAGAGGCAUAAUGACAAGCGUUGGUGAGGAUGUGGAGAAAUUGGAACCCUCG